rnacentral:rRNA from 1 species
UACGGGGGGUGCGAGCGUUGUCCGGAAUCACUGGGCGUAAAGGGCGCGUAGGUGGCCUGAUAAGGGUGUGGUGAAAGUCCGGGGCUCAACCCCGGAUCGGCCGUGCCGACUGUUAGGCUAGAGUACUGUAGGGGCAGGCGGAAUUCCGGGUGUAGCGGUGGAAUGCGUAGAGAUCCGGAAGAACACCGGUGGCGAAGGCGGCCUGCUGGGCAGUUGCUGACACUGAGGCGCGACAGCGUGGGGAGCAAACAGG